CCUACGGGAGGCAGCAGUGGGGAAUUUUGGACAAUGGGCGCAAGCCUGAUCCAGCAAUGCCGCGUGAGUGAAGAAGGCCUUCGGGUUGUAAAGCUCUUUUGUCAGGGAAGAAACGGUUCGGGUUAAUACCUUGGGCUAAUGACGGUACCUGAAGAAUAAGCACCGGCUAACUACGUGCCAGCAGCCGCGGUAAUACGUAGGGUGCAAGCGUUAAUCGGAAUUACUGGGCGUAAAGCGUGCGCAGGCGGUUGUGCAAGACAGAUGUGAAAUCCCCGGGCUCAACCUGGGAAUUGCAUUUGUGACUGUACGGCUAGAGUGUGUCAGAGGGGGGUAGAAUUCCACGUGUAGCAGUGAAAUGCGUAGAGAUGUGGAGGAAUACCGAUGGCGAAGGCAGCCCCCUGGGAUAACACUGACGCUCAUGCACGAAAGCGUGGGGAGCAAACAGGAUUAGAUACCCUGGUAGUCCACGCCCUAAACGAUGUCUACUAGUUGUCGGUCUUAUGAUAGUACGCANCACGCGUGAGUAGACCGCCGUCGGGAGGUACGGUCGCGAGAGUAAACUACGAAGAAGUAGACGGCGUGAGACGUAGCCGACGGACGACGACGAGGGAGGAGG
rnacentral:rRNA from 1 species